GCAACGAGCGCAACCCUCGUCCUUAGUUGCCAUCAUUAAGUUGGGCACUUUAAGGAAACUGCCGGUGAUAAGCCGGAGGAAGGUGGGGAUGACGUCAAAUCAUCAUGCCCCUUAUGACCUGGGCUACACACGUGCUACAAUGGUUGGUACAACGAGUUGCGAGUCGGUGACGGCGAGCUAAUCUCUUAAAGCCAAUCUCAGUUCGGAUUGUAGGCUGCAACUCGCCUACAUGAAGUCGGAAUCGCUAGUAAUCGCGGAUCAGCACGCCGCGGUGAAUACGUUCCCGGGCCUU
rnacentral:rRNA from 1 species